GGUUAAGCGACUAAGCGUACACGGUGGAUGCCCUGGCAGUCAGAGGCGAUGAAGGACGUGCUAAUCUGCGAAAAGCGCCGGCGAGGUGAUAUGAACCUUUGACCCGGCGAUGUCCGAAUGGGGAAACCCAGUGCAAUUCGUUGCACUAUCGUUAACUGAAUACAUAGGUUAACGAGGCGAACCGGGGGAACUGAAACAUCUAAGUACCCCGAGGAAAAGAAAUCAACCGAGAUUCCCCCAGUAGCGGCGAGCGAACGGGGAGGAGCCCAGAGUCUGAAUCAGUUUGUGUGUUAGUGGAAGCGUCUGGAAAGUCGCACGAUACAGGGUGAAAGUCCCGUACACGAAAGCACACAGGCUGUGAACUCGAAGAGUAGGGCGGGACACGUGGUAUCCUGUCUGAAUAUGGGGGGACCAUCCUCCAAGGCUAAAUACUCCUGACUGACCGAUAGUGAACCAGUACCGUGAGGGAAAGGCGAAAAGAACCCCGGCGAGGGGAGUGAAAAAGAACCUGAAACCGUGUACGUACAAGCAGUGGGAGCCCCACCACUAAGCCAGUGGUGAGUCCACGUCAGCAUCCUUUGCCGAAGGUAAGGUUAACGGAGCGCAAGCGACGUUCAACCUCAAAAGAAGCAGAGGGGGCUUAGUGGUGGGGUGACUGCGUACCUUUUGUAUAAUGGGUCAGCGACUUAUAUUCUGUAGCAAGGUUAACCGAAUAGGGGAGCCGAAGGGAAACCGAGUCUUAACUGGGCGUUAAGUUGCAGGGUAUAGACCCGAAACCCGGUGAUCUAGCCAUGGGCAGGUUGAAGGUUGGGUAACACUAACUGGAGGACCGAACCGACUAAUGUUGAAAAAUUAGCGGAUGACCUGUGGCUGGGGGUGAAAGGCCAAUCAAACCGGGAGAUAGCUGGUUCUCCCCGAAAGCUAUUUAGGUAGCGCCUCGUGAACUCAUCUUCGGGGGUAGAGCACUGUUUCGGCUAGGGGGUCAUCCCGACUUACCAACCCGAUGCAAACUGCGAAUACCGAAGAAUGUUAUCACGGGAGACACACGGCGGGUGCUAACGUCCGUCGUGAAGAGGGAAACAACCCAGACUGCCAGCUAAGGUCCCAAAGUCAUGGUUAAGUGGGAAACGAUGUGGGAAGGCCCAGACAGCCAGGAUGUUGGCUUAGAAGCAGCCAUCAUUUAAAGAAAGCGUAAUAGCUCACUGGUCGAGUCGGCCUGCGCGGAAGAUGUAACGGGGCUAAACCAUGCACCGAAGCUGCGGCAGCGAACGUAUCACUUAAAGCGAUUUGAUAAGGUUAAACGAUUGACGGAGCGAAGCGACGUCAAAGCGUUCCAUUACGUUGAGUCGGUUUAAGGAUACGUU
rnacentral:rRNA from 1 species